CGGGGCGUGAUGAACCUUUGGAGCCCCGAGGGCCGGAGAAACCCGCGGACCGGGGUUCAAAUCCCCGCGCCCCCACCA
rnacentral:tRNA from 4 species